rnacentral:rRNA from 1 species
GAUGAACGCUGACAGAAUGCUUAACACAUGCAAGUCAACUGUGGCGGACGGGUGAGUAACGCGUAAAGAACUUGCCUCACGGAUAGGGACAACACUUGGAAACGAAUGCUAAUAUCUGAUACCGUGAGAGCGCUUUGCGUCCCAUUAGCUAGUUGGAGAGGUACCGGCUCAGCAAGGCGAUGAUGGGUAGCCGGCCUGUGAGGGUGAUCGGCCACAAGGGGACUGGGACACGGCCCUUACUCCUACGGGAGGCAGCAGUGGGGAAUAUUGGACAAUGGACCAAAGUCUGAUCCAGCAAUUCUGGGUGCACGAUAAAGUUGUCGGAAUGUAAAGUGCUUUCAGUUGAGAAGCGGUACCAACAGAAGAAGUAACGGCUAAAUACGUGCCAGCAGCCGCGGUAAUAC